GCUAGACAAAGAAUGAUCCAAGAAGUCCUCAAUGGCAGAACAGGUGGAUGAUAACAAGCGGUAUGUUACAACGGCUGUGAAGCUGGAUGAAGGCUGCAGCAGAUAAGAAUCUACUGGUUGUCAUGAGUACUCAUGCCAUCAGAACAGAGCCCUACUAUGAAGUCUGUGUGUUGGUCAGCGUGCACUGAUCUACACACAUAAAACAAAUUCACACACAGGUGUCUUCCAAAAACCCAACCCAAACCCCAAAAGUCCCAUGGCGAUCGGCAAAUGGUAAUGGGACCAGGAUCAUGAAAUCUGGAAGCCCCUAGUCAUCAACCAGCACAUGGGCGGUGGGUACAGAUUCAGUCAUUCUGACUCAAGGAACGAGGCAGUUGAGCAGCACGACAGCUGUAUCCAUGACUGAGCAGCCCUUUUUAGGAUCUACUCUGAUCACCCCAAAAAGGGAGAGGGCCUAGAAAAGGUGCCCUGGACAUAGUCUGCCUCCCUUUUUCCCUGAUUGGAUUACCACGCCCUGUGGGGUCAGCACGCAGCAGUCGUAAACCAAUGUCCCCACUGUGGGAGGACGUGUGGACCCAGAAUUAGCCUCCACAGUCACUUACGGACUCAUUGUUAAAACUGUGUUUAUGGAAGACAAUCUUACUCGGCUAUGAGUGAUCACCAAAGAAGAAGAAGACAUACCCUCCAACAUUCCUCAGGUGAAAAUAGGGACAUUUCUCAUUUCCCCUCCUCGACCGCCCAUUUUUUGCCACAGAACAUCUCCACCACCACUGCAGCAACAGGACACAGCACAGACACCUUCCACCGUCCUGUAGAAACACCUUAAUCCUGAUUUUAUUUAAUUUAUUCUUUGGUAGAUUUAGAAAAAGAAAAACACCAAUGAAUAAAAAAUCAAGACUCCUUGCGUUCUGCUCCCCCUUGCUUCCCGCCCUCAGAGCUGGUACAUCACGAUGAGCCACGGGAGCCAACUCCUAGGGGCCGACGUUCCUUCAGCCCUCCCAAUAAAAUAUUUGAGGGGUCUGGGGGCCCCCGAAGUUGAGGGAAAUUCCCAUUCAAAUGGUGUGUUUGUGUGGUUCAUGUCAUGUGGUUGCUUAUGUGGGGUGGUGGGCUUAUAAAAAUGAAAGGGAGCAAUGAACUCUGGAAACUUAUGUUGGGGAGUUGAAUGCUGUGGAUCUCUAAUGUUAAUUUGUAGUCUAAAGAACGAAUCACCUUCCUUUUAGUAGCCACUGGGCAACUCAUUGCUCAAAACUUGGAAGUCUCUAGAACAUUUGCAACUAUCACUGGAAACAGAAAGCAUUGUUGUGAGGAGUCCCCCUGUCCCCCCCCCCGGAGGGGUAGGAUAUAUGCCUAGUCCCUUCUAAUUCUGAGAUCCGGCAAGGUUUCCAAUUUUGGAAUGAGCCUGGUGGGUCACCCUAUAUGGGUUGGCUGUAUUUGCCUAGAUGGGCCAAAUGCUGUACAAGCCUGCCGUAGAAGGAAGCAUGUGCCUGUUCCUAUUUUGCCUUUUAUCAGGAAGCAGAUGUACACAAAAUACACUUGUACCAUACUUCAGACAUGAUGUAUGUGGUCUUGUUUCUGCACAGGCAACCUGUCUGAGAAUCAUCAUGUGUGAACCGGUCCCGAGAGACUGGGCAAACACAUGUACAAUUUUCUAGAGUCAGAAAAAUCCAGUGGAAUUUAACAGUGCUUGGAAAUAAUUGAUUAAAAGCCCCACAUGUCCACAGAAUCUAAUCUAAAGGGUGACCCUUCCACGGAGGUCACUUUAUUAAUUGCAUCUAAAAUGCUUAUUGGCCCUUUCUUGCCUCAGAUGAAUGUGGGUGCUAGGGCUACAGAAGAGCAAGCCUCCGGAGCAGAGAGCAAGUCAAAGAAGUUAUGUUGCCAUGGUUUGUAACUGCUUUUCUAUAAAUGUUUUUCAGUAAGGUCAUGGCCUGGUUGAUUAAUUUCAAGCACUCACAUUCAUCUACUGUGCUACGGACAGCUUAAGGCAGAUGUUCGCUGGAGCCAUUUCCUGCUAACUUAUAUCUCCUCUCUGUGUUUCUUUUCAGUAUUUACCGUAUUUUUCUGCGUAUAAGACAAUGCUUUCUGCUAUAAAAAAGAGGCAAAAAUUGGUGUCGUCUUCUACACGGAUAGUGAAUGCAGAGCAGGUACGUGUGAUUAAUGGCAGCAGCAAGCAGGAGAUUGCCAGCGGCAAUUGGGCGGGUGAUUGGUGGCUGUGCCAAGGCCUGCUGAUGAUUGGCUGUGGCAGUUGGGCAGGCGAUUGGCAGCUGUGGCAAGUGGGUGGGUGGGCUGUCGGUGGUGAUGAGUGGGCAGACAAUUGGUGGUUGCGGCGAGGUGUGCAAUUGGCAGUGGCUGUGACAAGCGGUCAGCAGUAGUGGACAGGUGGGUGAGUGAUUGGUGGAAGUGACCUCCCCUAACCCCUUCUUAGGGUAUCUGCUUCACCACUGUCUGUAAUGAGAACGUUAUGCUUGUGUAACCUAGAAUUCUUAUGUUUUUCCACAGCCCGAGGCUGCAUGGUGUUGACAAUGAUUGGUUGUUAAAAGGUAGCUCCUCAAGUAGGUCUCAUGUCCAGAACCAUAGCAGAUCAGAAGUGGAGCAUAAAGGAGGGUUUGGGGGGAAGAGACUGGCAAAAUGCGGUUGGACAGGCAGAUUGACGAGAUUAUGGAUCAAGACAGACCCUCAAGGGACUUUUGGACAGAACACGAAAGAAUCAACUUGGCAGAAUACAGUAUCGAUCAUGUGGCAAAACUUGAUUUUACUGAUUGUCCCUGUAGAUCCUGAGCGGUUGGUAACCCCAAAACCACUAGAUUCCUAUCAUAAAUGAAAGAAGACAUUCUUUCCCAGCAAUUUAUGGUUGAUUCCAUACAUACCACAUCUCUAUUCCCCAA